GUGCACGCUGGCGGUCGGCCUCACCCCUGCAAGUCGAACGGCAGCACAGUAAGAGCUUGCUCUUACGGGUGGCGAGUGGCGGACGGGUGAGGAAUACAUCGGAAUCUACUUUUUCGUGGGGGAUAACGUAGGGAAACUUACGCUAAUACCGCAUACGACCUACGGGUGAAAGCAGGGGAUCUUCGGACCUUGCGCGAUUGAAUGAGCCGAUGUCGGAUUAGCUAGUUGGCGGGGUAAAGGCCCACCAAGGCGACGAUCCGUAGCUGGUCUGAGAGGAUGAUCAGCCACACUGGAACUGAGACACGGUCCAGACUCCUACGGGAGGCAGCAGUGGGGAAUAUUGGACAAUGGGCGCAAGCCUGAUCCAGCCAUACCGCGUGGGUGAAGAAGGCCUUCGGGUUGUAAAGCCCUUUUGUUGGGAAAGAAAAGCAGCAGGUUAAUACCCCGCUGUUCUGACGGUACCCAAAGAAUAAGCACCGGCUAACUUCGUG
rnacentral:rRNA from 1 species